rnacentral:lncRNA from 1 species
UUUUAUAUGUACAAUGUUCUACCUGUAUGAAUGUCUGUACACUACAUUCAUUCUGUACUUACGGAGGCUAGAAGAGGAUGCUGGAUCUCCUAGAACUGGAAUUACAGAUAGUUGUGAGCCAUCGUGUGGGUGCUGGGAAUCAAAGCCAGGUCCUCUGGAAGGGCAACCAGUGUUCUUAAUCGUUUGGUCAUCUCUCCAGCCCCUUACUUCAUUUUUAAGCCAGCAAGCAUGUUUACAGAAGCAAAAACAGAAAAUUCAAGGCAAUUAUUUGGGUGCUUUCUGCUUCUUUAUUUCUCAAGGCAAUUAGGAUAUGGUUCUUGGCAUACCAAGCAAAUAAAAUUCCAAGAGACAAUGUACUAUAUUUUCUCCUCAGUCAGGGCUACACUCCUGCUUAACUCUUUCCUGACAUUUAGCUUUCCUUUACCCUUUUCAGGCCAUAAUAGAACUGAACCCACUUUUCCUUCUGUAUAUUACCAGAUAAACAUAAGGUGCAAAUCCGUGUGUACCUUGUAUUUUUUUAUUGCCAAAUCUAACAAUUCUAUCCAGAUAGUGAGAUACCCCUUCUCAGGCACCUACAGCUCCAUAUGCCUGUUACUGAGCCAACACUUGCCCCCUGAAAGGCUGGAGAUCUAGUCUGACCUCUGUAUCCUUAUUAAGCAAUACUACAUGGCUCAGUGCAUAAGAGAAUGGUAUUGUUUGCUCAGUGAAUAGCUACAUACGAAUGAUACUGCAAUAAGCCUGCAUGUUCUGGUGGACUCAGUAAAUGCUCCAUCAGAAUAAAUUCCACCUAAAACUCACCUUCCCUUCAUAGCUGUGGAAGAAUCACUUGAUGCUUUACAUAUCUAUCCAGGUAGGCAGUCUGGAAAGCUGGGAGUCGUCAGCUCUCUCUCUCUCUCUCUCUCUCUCUCUCUCUCUCUCUCUGUGUGUGUGUGUGUGUGUGUGUGUGUGUGUGUUGAGAAUCACUGCUUUAGAAUUUCUACUCUUGCUAACUUUCAGGCAGGAGGAUGAUCAGGGGGACCAAAUAUACUUCUGGGCCAUCUGAGGGUGAAAUGACAGUAGAAAACACUUCAGAUCCAGCAAUGUCACAACAUAGGUAAAUUAAAUGGUGAUCUAUAGGUAGACCGGGUUAGUUUCACACACAUAGAGUUCCUGAGCCCAGCCUGAUCUAGAGGUUUGGUUUGGUUUGGCCUUUUGGUAAAAGAUUGUCCAGAAAUCGCUGUGUAGACCAGGCUGGCCUUGAACUCACAGAGAUCCACCUACCUCCCAAGUGCUGUGAUAAAAGGCAUGAACUGCCUCCACCACCCAGCUCUGAUCUAGAGUUUUAAUCAUGAGUAUAAGGAGGCAAAAAUAGGAGCAGCAAGAUGGUUCAGAUAGAAAUACUGCCAAGCCUGAUGACCCCAGUUUGGUCUCUGGAGCCUACAUGGGGAAAGAAGAGAACCAACUCCCACUAAUUGUCCUUUGACUUCUACAUGCAUGCUGUUGUAUUUGUGUGCCCACACACAUACCCAAGCACACAAAAAUGAAUAAAUAGAUAGAUAGAUAGAUAGAUAGAUAGAUAGAUAGAUAGAUAGAAGUGAGGUAGUCUCAAGGAUGAGAGAGGGCAACGACUAAGG